AAUGAACGUUGGCGGCGUGGAUUAGGCAUGCAAGUCGUGCGAUAACCGUAGCAAUACGGCGAAAGCGGCGAAAGGGAGAGUAAUGCGUGGAUACCUACCCCCAGGUCCAGGAUAGCCGCGGGAAACUGCGGGUAAUACUGGAUGACGUCUCCGGACCAAAGGUGUGAUUCCGCCCGGGGAUGGGUCCGCGUCCUAUUAGCUUGUUGGCAGGGUAAUGGCCUACCAAGGCAAAGAUGGGUACGGGGUGUGAGAGCAUGCCCCCGCUCACUGGGACUGAGACACUGCCCAGACACCUACGGGUGGCUGCAGUCGAGGAUCUUCGGCAAUGGGCGCAAGCCUGACCGGGCGACGCCGCGUGCGGGAUGAAGGCCUUCGGGUUGUAAACCGCUGUCAGAGGGGAGGAAAUGCCGGUGGGUUCUCCCAUCGGUUUGACCUAUCCUCAGAGGAAGGACGGGCUAAGUUCGUGCCAGCAGCCGCGGUAA
rnacentral:rRNA from 1 species